rnacentral:rRNA from 1 species
UACGGAGGGGGCUAGCGUUGUUCGGAAUUACUGGGCGUAAAGGGCUCGUAGGUGGCCAACUAAGUCAGACGUGAAAUCCCUCAGCUUAACUGGGGAACUGCGUCUGAUACUGGAUGGCUUGAGAUUGGGAGAGGGAUGCGGAAUUCCAGGUGUAGCGGUGAAAUGCGUAGAUAUCUGGAGGAACACCGGUGGCGAAGGCGGCAUCCUGGACCAACACUGACACUGAGGAGCGAAAGCGUGGGGAGCAAACAGG